rnacentral:lncRNA from 1 species
UAAUCCAACAUGAGCACACUCUCUUAUUACACUCUAGCUUCUCUAGACCUAUCUCAACUCUUUUUGCCCUUACAUUCAUCAUCAAACAUCCACACAUUCAAAUCAACCAACUCUCACAUUCAUUAAGCACAAAACAUCAGGUGGAUUCUUGCAAAUGGUCAAUUGGUCUAAAUCAUUUGGUUGGGUAGGGGAAGGCUUUUAUUUAAGAGAGUCAAGAGGUUCAAGAUAUAUGAUCUUUAAGGUGGUUUACUCUCGAAACAAGUAGCCUUGACAUUGCACAUAAUAUAUCUAAGAAAGGGACCAACUCAUGCAUACAAUGCUCAAUCUCCAUUGUUCUACCAUUUUCCCAAACAUACAAAUCACACAAUCAUUUCCCAAUGUCAAAACCAACUCACACCUCUCACCAAAAGAUCCUAAGAACAUCAACUCUUUCUCUUUGAAAUCUACAAGGGAUUUUUCACAACCUCAAAACAUUUCUUAGCUCCUAACAACUUUGCUAGCCCUUUUUUUUUUUUUUUUUUAAUUUUUUAAUUUUUUUUUUUUUUUUAGAUGGGGGCCAAAACUUUUCAUAACUUGAGCUAGAGGUUUUUCUACCUAUCCCAAUAAGACAAUUCACUUAAACACAAAGAGUCAUUUCUUUUCCUUUUUCAUUGCUCCCAAAUCAUAAUCACAACACUCACCCCCCACCUAUAGCUAGACAAUAGAAUGCCCAAUCUAGCAAGAAUGAAGAUCAAGCAU